rnacentral:misc_RNA from 1 species
CGUUGCGCGGCGUGUGUCAGUACGUGUACGGCGAUAAGCUGUGUCGCGUUGUCGGCCUAUCGGGUGCAGCGGAGCGACCGUCUGGCGACGUGUUCUUAUCACCAGCCGCGAUCGAAUCGUCCGCGAUUAAGAUAACGCGCUUGCGAAACCCUCGCGCUCGUAACGAGACAUAUCCGGUGAUGCGCGAAUUUUGAAAGCGGGCCAAACAUAGAGGGAAACAACGCGGCGCAGUCGCGACCCGAAGACGCGAUCGCGUAACGUACUCGAUGUGCUCGCGCGUUUUCCUUCCACGGAGAAGAGAUCCCGGAUUGAUGAUCCUCGCGCCGCGAGUUACCUCCCGUUCGUGACUCGUCCUCGUCAUCGGUUUCCCACGAGUUUCCUCGCCGACAGGGAUCGCCGAUUUUUCCGACGCGCGACGGAGAUGUAAGCUCGACGCGACGAGUUUCGGAGGAGACGCCAUCCGUUUCAAACGAGGCCACGUGGACCACGUUGGGAGCCAGGAAAAAUAUGUGCCAGCAUGUCCGAGGACGACGCGCAGGAAGCAGCCAGCGAGGAGAUCGAGAAACAGGGAUCCCUUUAUGUGUUCCCGGGUACGGGCCGCCCCAGCCGCGCAACAUCGUCGUCAUCGUCGGCAUCGAUGGCGCCCCUUCAGCCACCACUGUCGUCUUUCCCUCACGGUGGCGAUCCAACCAUGAUGAGCACGACGAUGACAACCAGCACCACGACGACGAUAACAUCCACGCCGACGAAGAUGAGCAACGGCGACGAGGACGAGGACGCCGUAGAGGAAGUCACCUCGCCGAGCAGAAGAAGACCUCUGCCGAAAACGCACGCGAGAUCGGCGAGCCAUGGUGGUGUCCUGGCGGAUUGCACGACCGGACGGCAGACCUACGGGUCUUUUCUGGGUCCGCUGACGACGGUGGGAAGCGCCACGUCCGCGGGUCGACCAUCGGCGCUGAAGAAGCCGGGUCAUCAGAGAGCCUUCAGCCAGGGUCAGGUGGCGGACGUGACGCAAAGCCAGUCAGCCGUAACGGGACAUCAUCGCGUCGGCUCCAGAACGGAUUUCAUCUUGCCGCCGGGCCACAGGGAGGAGGGCAGACCGCCUACUGCCGGCAGGAUGCCUUCCUUUCGCGGUCAUUCUCGCCAGGCGUCCAGAUCGGAGUCUAUCUAUACGAUAAGACGUAGCGUCGUGCCCCCCUGGUGGAGAAGACUAUGGGCCUAUUGUUUCGGUUCAUUGCCGGAAGAGCCCCGUCUAAGGACAAUAGUGCCGAAUCACUUAGUCUCCCCGAAAACACCGAAGAGUCAGCAUCCCAAUGGGUAUAGGACGGACAACAGGGUACGCACAACAAAGUAUACGGCGCUGAGCUUCCUACCUCGUAACCUGCUGGAGCAGUUUCAUCGUGUGGCUAAUCUAUAUUUCAUCUUCAUCGUUCUACUUAAUUGGGUGCCGGCCAUAAAUGCUUUUGGCAAGGAAGUCGCUAUGAUCCCCGUCUUGUUCGUUCUUGGGGUUACAGCGCUUAAGGACUUCUUCGAAGAUCGUCGGCGUCUCGCCAGUGACCGGCGUGUGAAUAAUUCCACCUGCCGCGUCUACGUUAGCGAAGGCGACAGAUACAUGAAGGUGGCGUGGAAGGAUGUCAAGGUGGGCGACCUGGUUCACCUCUCGAACAACGAACUGGUACCGGCCGAUCUUUUGCUUCUGAGAAGCAGCGAUCCUCAGGGAUUAGCUUAUCUCGAUACGUGCAACCUUGAUGGUGAAACGAAUCUGAAGCAGCGUCAGGUUAUCAGGGGUUUCCUCGAUCUGCAGGAUACUUUCCAGCCUUCCAAGUUCCGGUCGGUGGUUGAAGUCGAUCAGCCAAGUACUAGAAUAUAUAGGUUUCAUGGCGCCGUAGUGCACCCGAACGGUGGCAGAGUACCCGUGUCCACGGAAAAUCUUUUGCUCAGGGAAUGUGUUUUAAAGAACACCGACUUCGUCGAGGGUAUAGUCAUAUACGCUGGUCAUGAGACUAAAGCAUUGCUGAACAACGGUGGACCCAGAUACAAGCGUUCCCGUCUGGAGAAGCAGAUGAACAGGGACGUGAAAUGGUGCGUUGUGAUAUUGCUGGUGCUAUGCGUGUUCGGUGCGAUCGGUUGCCGUUUUUGGUUGUCCACGUACACGGGUUUGACGAUGGUACCGUUUCUGCCGGUGGUGCAGGAGCCAGUCUACGAGAGUAUACUGACCUUCCUGACCUUCGUUAUAAUAUUUCAAGUGAUGAUACCGCUGAGUCUAUACGUGACGAUCGAGAUGGCCAAGGUGGGACAGGUGUAUCAUAUCGGCCACGACCCGGCCCUCCACGACACGGAAACCGGUCGUAAGGCGGAAUGCCGCGCGCUGAAUAUCACGGAGGAAUUAGGUCAAGUGCAAUAUGUUUUUUCCGACAAAACUGGCACUCUCACGGAAAACAAAAUGCUAUUCAGGCGAUGCGUAGUAAGCAACCAGGAUUAUUCGCACAUAGGCGACAAUGAGAAUCUGCUUCCGUGCUCGCGGCUUAAGGAGGACCUCCUCAUAAGUACAUUUCGACACCGUUUACAAGAAUUUCUUAUUGUUUUGGCCACGUGCAAUACGGUUGUUGUAAAUUCUCAACCGCAUCACGAUAACAUGAACUCUAGCGGAGUCAUCGAAGAACCUCAAAAAAAUGGAACUCGGGCUGCAAGAAUAACAGAGGAUACUAAUUCAUUUCCGACCGUUAAUUCCCCGCCGAUACCGAUAUCUCCGAACAGUAGAAAUCCCCGCACCUUAUCUCCAGUAUCACCUGUGAUCAGCACGACAAAUACGUUUGAUGACACAUCAAAAUUUCCGUUUAAACUUUCCAGGCCAAAGUUGCUAAAUGUAACGUCGAUACCGAGUCUAGGGAUCGGUUUAUUGGGACGAAAACUUUCACCAGAUGGCCAAAAGAGACGUAGUCCGGACACAAAAAACAGCGAUGAAUUAUUACAAAGUCUAGCGAUCUACGAAGCGGAAAGUCCUGAUGAGUUGGCGCUAGUACACGCGGCACGUGCUUACGACGUCAAGCUAGUGAAACGAACGCCUCGCAGUGCAAUCGUUUCUUUUCCAGACAAAUCAACGGUCGCGUUCGAAAUACUUCACGUACUACCAUUUGAUUCGAAUAGAAAAUGUAUGUCGGUGCUACUCAGGCAUCCUCAUACCGGCGAGAUAGUAUUAUACAGCAAGGGUGCCGACACGACGAUAUUACCAGCGUUGUCGCCGAAUGAAGAGAACACCGUCUCCUCGGCAAGUAUUCGACAAUAUCUGCAGUCGUACGCGCGUCAAGGGUUGCGUACCCUGGUGAUGGCAAGGAGGACAUUGACAUCACAAGAAUAUGAGAUAUGGCGAGAGAAGCACGAUGAGGCGGAACUGGCGACGGAGAACCGUGAACGUCGUAUACGCGAUUCGUACGCGACGUUGGAGUCGCACUUAACGCUGCUGGGAGCGACCGGUAUCGAGGACAAAUUGCAAGUUGGCGUGCCCGAGACAAUGGCCGCUCUAGUCGCCGCCGGAAUCGUCGUGUGGGUUCUGACAGGAGAUAAGCCAGAGACUGCGGUGAACGUGGCAUACUCGGCGCGACUCUUCUCGCCAGCCAUGCAGCUGCUGCAGUUGCAGGCGAGAUCGAAAUCCAUUGCUGAGACGCUCAUACGCGGCUAUCUGGAGUCGGCGCACAAAGAGAGUGCAAACAAUGGUCAUUCGCAGCAACCAGGCAUGAUUGCCGAUCCCGUCGGUAUAUAUCCGAAUCGCGAUUCCACCGAGAGAGAUGCCCAUAGAAUCGGCAGUCCGUGGCCACGGCAACGCGCGCUCGUCGUGGACGGUAAGACGUUGACCGUGAUCCUGGAUCCACGAUCAGGUUUGACCGGCCCGUUCCUCGAACUCACGAAAACGUGUUCCAGCGUCUUAGCCUGCCGCGCCACACCGUUGCAAAAGGCAUAUAUAGUUCGCAUCGUUAAAAAACAAUUGGGAAUGAGAACGUUAGCGAUCGGCGAUGGCGCAAAUGAUGUUAGUAUGAUACAGACCGCCGAUGUGGGCGUCGGUAUCUCGGGGCAAGAAGGUACGCAGGCAGUGAUGGCGGCGGAUUUCGCGAUUUCACGAUUUUCCAUUCUCAGUCGGCUCCUCCUUCUGCAUGGGCACUGGUGUUAUGACCGUCUCGCCAGAAUGAUUUUGUAUUUCUUUUACAAGAAUGCAACUUUCGUCUUCCUCGUGUUCUGGUUUCAGUUAUAUUGCGGUUUCUCCGGUGCCGUAAUGAUAGAUCAAAUAUAUUUAAUGCUAUACAACUUGCUGUUCACUUCGCUGCCACCUCUAGCUUUGGGCAUAUACGAUCGAAUCGCUGCGCCUCGCGUGUUACUUUCAGCACCGGAAUUGUACACAAGAGGACGUCUGGGACUAGUUUAUCAGCCGCACUCGUUUUGGCUCACAAUCAGCGAUGCUCUUUACCAAAGUCUUAUUAUUUUCUUUAUUACCAAAGAGGUUUAUCAUGAUUCGAUUAUCGAUAUAUGGGAAUUUGGGACGACUAUUAUGACAGCGUGCAUCGUUGUCAUGCUGCUUCAUGCUGCCAUAGAAAUUAAAUCUUGGACUAUAAUUCACAUUGGUGCCAUCUUGGGUUCCUUGGGCAUAUUCUUUGGAUUUUGCCUUUUUUAUAAUGCCGUCUGCGUUAAUUGCAUGGGUUUACCCGGAUCCUUCUGGGUAAUGGAAAAAGUCAUUACGCGUCAUACGUACUGGUUCACUGUAGUACUUACGUCUGUCCUCGCACUAAUGCCUAGUCUAUAAGGCGAUACAAUCCACAAUCGCACCAGACGCUAUACAAGUCAUCUCGCAGCAAAUUGUCGCAAAAGGCGGUAAUCAAAUUCGUCGGCAGCGUAUCAGCAGUCAAAGAGGCGAAAUUAAUUUUAUUGCUGGAUGGUCACGUUCCUCGCAGCAUGCUACCAUCAGACCCGGCAGCUACAGAAG